rnacentral:rRNA from 1 species
AAUGAACGUUGGCGGCGUGGAUUAGGCAUGCAAGUCGAGCGCGAACCCCGCAAGGGGUGAAAGCGGCGAAAGGGAGAGUAACGCGUGGGUAUUUACCCUCGGGACUGGGAUAGCUGCGGGAAACUGCAGGUAAUACCAGAUGACGUCCCCGGACCAAAGGUGUGAUUCCGCCUGAGGAUAAGCCCGCGUCCUAUUAGCUAGUUGGUGAGGUAAUGGCUCACCAAGGCAAUGAUGGGUACUGGGUGUGGGAGCACGACCCAGCUCACUGGGACUGAGACACUGCCCAGACACCUACGGGUGGCUGCAGUCGAGAAUCUUCGGCAAUGGGCGCAAGCCUGACCGAGCGACGCCGCGUGUGGGAUGAAGGCCUUCGGGUUGUAAACCGCUGUCAGAGGGGAGGAAUGGGCGGAGGGUAAUCUCUUCGUUUUGACCUAUCCUCAGAGGAAGUACGGGCUAAGUCCGUGCCAGCCGCCGCGGUAA